CGGCGUAAAGCGUGGUUAAGAAAAUGAUACAAAUAGGGCCGAAUAGCCUCAAAGCAGUUAUACGCACUCGAGGCCACGAAGCACAGUCACGAAAGUGGCCCUACUAAAAUUUGAUCCCACGAAAACCAUAAAACAAACUGGGAUUAGAUACCCCACUAUGUAUGGUUGUUAACAUUGAUGGUUUUAUACUCCGACCAUCCGCCCGGGUACUACGAGCAUAAGCUUAAAACCCAAAGGACUUGGCGGUGCUUUAGACCCCCCUAGAGGAGCCUGUUCUAGAACUGAUAACCCCCGUUAAACCUCACCAUCCCUUGUUUAACCCGCCUAUAUACCACCGUCGUCAGCUUACCCUGUGAAGGUAAAAUAGUAAGCAUAAAUGGCAAAGCCAAAAACGUCAGGUCGAGGUGUAGCGAAUGAGAUGGGAAGAAAUGGGCUACAUUCUCUAUUACAGAGAAUACGAAUGGUAAUUUGAAAAAAAUACCUGAAGGAGGAUUUAGCAGUAAGUAGGGAACAGAGCGCCUUACUGAAAACGGCCCUGAAGCGCGCACACACCGCCCGUCACUCUCUCCAAAUAAACUCUAAAUAUUACUUAAAAUGUUUUACAUAACAAGGGGAGGCAAGUCGUAACAUGGUAAGUGUACCGGA
rnacentral:rRNA from 1 species